rnacentral:rRNA from 1 species
AUUGAACGCUGGCGGCAUGCUUUACACAUGCAAGUCGAACGGUAACAGGCCGCAAGGUGCUGACGAGUGGCGAACGGGUGAGUAAUGCAUCGGAACGUGCCCAGUCGUGGGGGAUAACUACUCGAAAAAGUAGCUAAUACCGCAUACGAUCUAUGGAUGAAAGCGGGGGACCGUAAGGCCUCGCGCGAUUGGAGCGGCCGAUGUCAGAUUAGGUAGUUGGUGGGGUAAAGGCUCACCAAGCCAACGAUCUGUAGCUGGUCUGAGAGGACGACCAGCCACACUGGGACUGAGACACGGCCCAGACUCCUACGGGAGGCAGCAGUGGGGAAUUUUGGACAAAGGGCGCAAGCCUGAUCCAGCAAUGCCGCGUGCAGGAAGAAGGCCUUCGGGUUGUAAACUGCUUUUGUACGGAACGAAACGGCUCUGGUUAAUACCCGGGGCUAAUGACGGUACCGUAAGAAUAAGCACCGGCUAACUACGUG